CCUACGGGAGGCAGCAGUGAGGAAUAUUGGUCAAUGGGCGCGAGCCUGAACCAGCCAAGCAGCGUGAAGGAUGACUGCCCUACGGGUUGUAAACUUCUUUUAUAAAGGAAUAAAGUGAGGCACGUGUGCCGUUUUGUAUGUACUUUAUGAAUAAGGAUCGGCUAACUCCGUGCCAGCAGCCGCGGUAAUACGGAGGAUCCGAGCGUUAUCCGGAUUUAUUGGGUUUAAAGGGAGCGUAGAUGGGUUGUUAAGUUAGUUGUGAAAGUUUGCGGCUCAACCGUAAAAUUGCCAUUGAUACUGGCAGCCUUGAGUACAGUUGAGGUAGGCGGAAUGCGUGGUGUAGCGGUGAAAUGCAUAGAUAUCACGAAGAACACCGAUUGCGAAGGCAGCUUACCAAACUGCGACUGACAUUGAUGCUCGAAAGUGUGGGUAUCAAACAGGAUUAGAUACCCCGGUAGUC
rnacentral:rRNA from 1 species